GCACGGCUCUCCCCAUGUCAGAUGCAGCCCCGGCAGGAUGCUUAAAAGAAGCACCACCUCCAGGAGAGAGGGGUCGCCCGGUGUAGAGGAUGGGAGCGACCGUGAGGAGAGGAGGAAGUUUGAGGUUUGCAGCUCUAGUUGCAUGAGGGACUUCCUGAGUCUAUGUUCAUGUUCCUCUUUCACUGAGCCUCAAAUUAUGACAUCAUCCACUGAAGUAUCAACACCAUUAGUAUGUUCAUGGAUCAUAUGUAUGGAUUUGUGGUACACUUUUCCUGCUAAAGCUAUGACAAAGGAAAUGUAAUGCAGAACACAGAUAUUCAAUGAGAGGAAAAGAUACGUUGAAAAGGGAAAUGUCAAAGCAAGUCCCUCUCUAUGCAGCACUGGUAAGAGCACAUCUAUGACACAGUUCUGAACAGCUUGACUGAAGAUGGCUAUUGAAAAGCUGGAGAGAAUUCAAAGAAGGAGUAAAGUAAUUAAUGAACAACCACCUCCAGAACAUCUGCCGUUUUGGGAAAUAUCCAUAAAGUAGGUGAAGGCUGAAUUAUUCCCAGGGACAUCUGGAGGGAUUUGGACUCAUAUUUUCUAGUCUUGUUUCAAACCCUGGAACAAUGUGGAGAUGAUACUUAUUUCUGAAAUAAGGUGCUCUCUGAAUUAUGAAUUUGUCCUAGCUAUUCAUAAUAGUUUAUUUCAUCAGCAGGUUUUUAAUACUGUAAAUGUGAAUAGCAUCCCAUAGUUAUUUCAGGGACUAACUGAAUGUAUGGAGAGUGGUACUACUAAUUUAUUUUUAUUACAGAUGUCCAAAUGCUCUUUUGUAUUCAGCCCUGUAGGUACUGAGCUUGUUACCAUUUUAGACAUGAAAUCACUAUGCAGCUCUCAGGGCUGGGGCAAGAGGCCCAGCGUACUGGGCAGCACUAAAGGCUGCCUGCAGACUGGUGUGGUAUGUUCAGGGCAGUGCUUAGGGCUGUGUUCCCCGGCUCCAUCCCUUCCACCUGAGUCCCUGCCUCUUCUGGGAGGGCGGAGCUGGGUCCCUACACACACCUUGCCUUGCAACCCAUGGAGACUGUCACACCCCCAACCAGUGUCUCUGCUGGGAGUCCCUCCAUAUACCCCAGCACCCUGCAACCACAACUGGACUCAGUCCCUAAACUUCUGUCCCUGGGCUGCCACCUUAGCUCUUCCCACUGGAGUGACACCCUGUUCUCCUGAGCAAGAUCCCCUGCAGCUUCUCUACUGGGAGGUCAUCCUUAGGGGAGCAUCCCUCACCCUGACCCUCUCUCACUGUUCCCCUGUGUCUAGCUCUCCAGGGAGAACAUCUCACUAAGUAAGGGUAUGUCUACACUACAAAGUUAAUUCGAACUAACAGCCGUUAGUUCGAAUUAACUUUAAUAGGGGCUACACAUACAAACCGCUAGUUCGAAUUUAAAUCGAACUAGCA